rnacentral:rRNA from 1 species
UACAGAGGUCCCAAGCGUUGUUCGGAUUCAUUGGGCGUAAAGGGUGCGUAGGCGGCGCGGUAAGUCGGGUGUGAAAUCUCGGAGCUUAACUCCGAAACUGCAUUCGAUACUGCCGUGCUUGAGGACUGGAGAGGAGACUGGAAUUUACGGUGUAGCGGUGAAAUGCGCAGAUAUCAGGAGGAACACCGGUGGCGAAGGCGGGUCUCUGGGCCGAUGACUGACGCUGAGGAGCGAAAGCGUGGGGAGCGAACAGG